rnacentral:misc_RNA from 1 species
GAAAUGCGAUACGCAAUGCGAAUUGCAGAAUCCGCGAGUCAUCAGAUCUUUGAACGCAAUUGGCGCCGAUUGUAUCGGCAUGUUUGUUUCAGUGUGGAAGGAAUCACAAAUCCAAAUGCGAUUGAAAGAGCGAUAAUCUAAUUAUCCUUCUUUCUCUCGUUAAACAAGUCCGGUGUCUGUGCGAAUGCUUCCUUGUGAAGUGACACCCAAACAAACGAAGUAGUCUCAUCUCUGAGAUCUCGUUUGUGCAAAAAAUGGUGUUCUUACCUCGGACAUUCAAAUAAAGCAUAGAUCCAAACUAAUAUACCAAAUUUUCUUCAAUUACACCUGAAAUCAAGCAAGACGACCCGCUGAACUUAA